AGCUGCAUAUCUCUGAUAAAUGACAGCUCACACCCCAGGGAGGUUCAAGUUAUUUUAUAUUCACUGUGCAUGAUUUUAGAAAUGCACCUCUAACUUUAUUCUUUUCACCUCUCUCUUCUGUCUCUCGUAGCAUUGAGUCAGGAGUCUGGCUUACAGCUGGCUUAGCAUUGUUGUAAUUCUGAUCGGUCUGACUGUGCCUCUGUGCAUUUUAAGUUGUAUUAAGGUAAUUAGUGAUACAGGUGCAGUUUGCCAGCCAGUGGGAAUGCCUCUAUACCAGUUUGGAGUAAAAUGUACUGUGCAUCUCUACGUCUCACAUCCCUGGAUGAGGGGCCGUGCCGGUCUGGCUACACGGGGACAGCAAGAGCAGUGCCAGCUCGCUGCCUCUGCAAGGCCUGGAGGAUUUGGCAUCGUUUGCAUCUGCACACUGAUGUCCACGCUACGUCAGAGCCAGUCUGCAGCAGCAAAAAUAAGGAAGGGCUCAGGCCUGCUGCCGUCCAAGGCCCAUCUGUUGCAGAAAGGAAUCCUCUGUUUGAAUUAGUUUGUAAAUUGGAAUAUUGGUGUCCUGGGUGAACAUGCACGCUUGGAAUAAAACUUUGGCUAGACAUGACAAAUUUCAGAGGUGUUAGAAUACCCUGUGCCAGAUCAUGCACAUGGCCAAGAGCUGCAGGACUUUGAGAGCUUCUCGAGGGGAGAUGUUUACAUCACUGGGGUUCUCACCUAUAAGCUGGGGGCUUGUCCAGGCACAGGACUCAGCUGCUCUUCUGGAGAGGAAAAUAAUCAGCCUUGUUUACGAGCUGAGAGGUUGGACUGGAGAUCUCAGAGGGUUCUUACCACCAGCACUUCUCUGUUUCUGUGGUAACCGAGGCAAACUUGAAAAGCUGAGCUUCAGGUCUGUGUUUAUGGAAAAAGAUGGAAGGCGGCCCAGCUUUCCUGAAUACACAAGAAAAGUAAAUAAAUGUGAUUAAGAUAAGCAGGUUUAGAGGAG
rnacentral:lncRNA from 1 species